GAGUUUGAUCCUGGCUCAGGACGAACGCUGGCGGCGUGCCUAACACAUGCAAGUCGAGCGAGGAAGCCCCUUCGGGGGUGGAAUAGCGGCGGACGGGUGAGUAACACGUGGGUAACCUGCCUCAAAGAGGGGGAUAGCCUCCCGAAAGGGAGAUUAAUACCGCAUAGAAGGUAAAAAUCGCAUGAUAAAUGCCUUAAAGGAGCAAUCCGCUCUGAGAUGGGCCCGCGUCGCAUUAGCUAGUUGGAGGGAUAAAAGCCCCCCAAGGCGACGAUGCGUAGCCGACCUGAGAGGGUGAACGGCCACAUUGGAACUGAGAUACGGUCCAGACUCCUACGGGAGGCAGCAGUGGGGAAUAUUGCACAAUGGGGGAAACCCUGAUGCAGCAACGCCGCGUGAGUGAAGAAGGUUUUCGGAUCGUAAAGCUCUGUCAUCCGGGACGAUAAUGACGGUACCGGAAGAGGAAGCCACGGCUAACUACGUGCCAGCAGCCGCGGUAAUAC
rnacentral:rRNA from 1 species